rnacentral:sRNA from 1 species
AUUCAAGCGUGUGUUGGACAUGGGCUUCAUCCUCAACAUAUCAUUUGACUCAAACAGAGACUUAAGUGUUUAAUGGGCUUGUUGUCUCCAACAAAUUAGCCUAUUAAACACAAGAGGCAAAACGGUAAUUUACAGGAGGAGUAGAAGAAUCUUUAGGUUAAGAGGUUUGUCCUAUAAAUAAUGCACUAUUGGCGAAAUAGUGAUACAAAAGAUAAUACCCAGAGAAUCAGAGCAAUAUUCGGACUAAAACUCUUUGUCUUUCGGUUUGUUUUUGUUCUCGGUUCGUUUUGUCUUCGGUUCGUUUUGUUCUCGAUUCGUUUUGUUCUCGGUUCGUUUUAAUUCACGGUUCGUUUUGUUCUCAAUUCGAGUCGUGUUACGUUGCCGAUCGAUAGAAAUCACUUGUAACUAUUCGACCGGCCUGUUGUUUACCUUUCUCGUUCGUCAGCUAAUAAAAGAUACUUCGUCUUCCCGAAAAUCCCUUACUUAUUCAUUGUUACAACCUCGGUACAAACAAUUGGCGCCCACCGUGGGACAGUUCAAAGCUUUUCUUUCACAGAACGAGAACGGCGAGCAGCGUAGAUGUCCCCAGCGAUCCACAAAACCGAAGACGACAUGACAGACACAUCGAGCGAAAACGGAUCUGACGCCAGCCAACAACAGCCGGCACCUGACGCAAUGCAACUGCCACCAGAGAACCCAGCACCCGCUCAAGCUUGCCUGAAUCCCGCACGCGCCGAACCACGUCCUGCCGGGGUAGCAGCCGCAGUGGGAGACACCGCGCUUGGCGGCGACGCUGCACCUUCAAACCAAGGUUCCCAUUUGGAUGACCUCGUGCAAACCAUCUUAGAUCGACUCAACGGUCAAGACGCACGAACAACCGAACGAAUCGAUGCCCUUGUUGCAGCGCAAGUUGCUUCGCAAAGUCAGAUCGAACGGUUACGACGCCGAAGACGUGACUCUCAGCCUCGCGAUGAUCAUGAACGCCUGCCAUCUCCCCAAAUUCCUGCUGCGGAACGUUCCGAAAACUGGCGACAAAGACCGGCAUCAGUUAUCGUAGGAUCUGUUGAAGGGCAACUCCGUGAGAAUCUACCGAACGACCGCAUCCUACCGAGCAACAGAAGUUUGCUGAACUGAUCUUCCGACAACGUCGACCAAACACGCAACAUGGAAAUCGAACGCAUGAACACGGUCAUCAAAGUCAUGUCAUCCAAAAUGCACCGUGCCAUUAGCUCUGCCCCGGAACUGGAGAAGUAUUGGAAGAAACAUAAAGAUCUCCUUUCACGGCACGCAUUUCGGAAGUUCGCGUCCGACACAUAACAAAGGUUAAGCUGGUUCCCUACAACGGUCUCACCGACCCGAAGAUUUUUCUAAAGUCUGUUAGCCUGGCAAUCAACCGCAAUCAUUUCUCUCCCGAAGAAUGCGACACGGGCAGCUGCCAGAUAUUCAUAGAAAAUCUGAUUGACGACGCGUUCAACUGGUUUUCGCUACUUGAGGCCAAUACGAUUAACAACUAUCACCAACUUACGGCCGUCUUCUUGCAGCACCAUUCCAUAUUCAUGAUUAAGGGUGCCUCUAAUGCUGACUUGUGGACUAUGUCUC